AGAGUUUGAUCCUGGCUCAGAAUCAACGCUGGCGGCGCGCUUAACACAUGCAAGUCGAACGAGAAAGGGAGCAAUCCUGAGUAAAGUGGCGCACUGGUGAGUAACACGUGGAUAUCUACCUCCUGGUGGGGAAUAACCUGGGGAAACCUGGGCUAAUACCGCAUAAGUUCGAGAGAAGAAAGGCGCAAGUCGCCGGGAGAGGAGUCCGCGGUCGAUUAGGUAGUUGGCAGGGUAAAGGCCUACCAAGCCGAAGAUCGAUAGCCGGCCUGAGAGGGCACACGGCCACACUGGCACUGAAACACGGGCCAGACUCCUACGGGAGGCAGCAGUGGGGAAUCUUGCACAAUGGGGGAAACCCUGAUGCAGCGACGCCGCGUGAGCGAUGAAGCCCUUCGGGGUGUAAAGCUCUUUCGGCAGGAACGAUAAUGACGGUACCUGCAGAAGAAGCUGCGGCUAACUACGUGCCAGCAGCCGCGGUAAUACGUAGGCAGCAAGCGUUGUUCGGAAUUACUGGGCGUAAAGAGUGUGUAGGUGGUGUCGUAAGUUUGGUGUGAAAUCUCCCGGCUUAACUGGGAGGGUGCGCCGAAGACUGCGAUGCUGGAGUAUGGGAGAGGAAAGCGGAAUUCCUGGUGUAGCGGUGAAAUGCGUAGAUAUCAGGAGGAACACCUGCGGUGUAGACGGCUUUCUGGACCAUUACUGACACUGAGACACGAAAGCGUGGGUAGCAAACAGGAUUAGAUACCCUGGUAGUCCACGCCCUAAACGAUGCAUACUUGGUGUGAGCCAUUCAGUUGGUUCGU
rnacentral:rRNA from 1 species